GAUGGGAAAGCAUUUUUGGAAAAAUUUAAAGGAAAGAAAAUAAUGUAUAUUGGGGAUUCUUUGAGUCUAAACAUUUAUGAAUACCGUUUGUGCUUGCUUCAUGCUGCUGUCCCAGAAGCAAAAUUCAAUCAAGUAAAGAAAAUGUCAUUGUUACAUUUGUGGUGAGAUUUUGUUGAAUAUAAUGGCCAAAUAUUAAAAGAUAUAAAUUGGAUUGAAGCUUUCCGGACUGGGCUAAAAACAUGGGCCAGAUGGGUUGAAACAGAUGUUGAUACAACAAAAACCAAAGUUUUCUUUCAAGGAACAUCUCUAGCCCAUUACAAUGGAUCAUAAUGGGGUGAACCAACAAUAAACAGUUGCUUGAAUGAAACAACUCCAAUCAAUGGAUCAAUAUAGCCAAGUGGUUUACCAAUUGCUCUGGACAUAGUGACAUAAGUAUUAAAGAACAUGUCAAAGCCAAUAAUAAAUUUACUUGGCAUAACAAAAGCUAUCACAACUAAGAAAAGAUGGACAUCCUAGCAUAUAUAACGGCAGACAUGGCUUGGAUUGUAUUGGUGCAUUGGUGUUGUUCCUGAUACUUGGAAUUAAAUUCUUUAUCCUCUACUUUAAGAAAAAAAAUGAUUUAUCAUUUUGUUAACAUAUAGUGGAAUAAAUAAAUAUAUGCAAUUUUUCUUAACGUAAGUAUGAUGAUGAGUUGGGAGCAUAGGAGAUGACUAUGGUUCCAUUUUUAUUGUUACUAAAAAUACACAUCUCUCUUCUAAGUGUGAAAGGAUAUAUAAAAAAUUAGAGUUAUUCUUAUUUAUUAGUGUCAACAUAACAUAUCUAUUGUCUCCUCCUUUAUUCAGGUUUGACAUAGAAAACUACCCAAACGAUGUUUCAACAUAAACUUUUAGUCACCCACAUGGCUUGCUUACAACUAA